CAGCCGCCGCGGUAAUACGUAGGUGGCGAGCGUUGUCCGGAAUUAUUGGGCGUAAAGGGCUCGCAGGCGGUUUCUUAAGUCUGAUGUGAAAGCCCCCGGCUCAACCGGGGAGGGUCAUUGGAAACUGGGAAACUUGAGUGCAGAAGAGGAGAGUGGAAUUCCACGUGUAGCGGUGAAAUGCGUAGAGAUGUGGAGGAACACCAGUGGCGAAGGCGACUCUCUGGUCUGUAACUGACGCUGAGGAGCGAAAGCGUGGGGAGCGAACAGGAUUAGAUACCCCAGUAGUCCCUGUCUCUUAUAC
rnacentral:rRNA from 1 species